rnacentral:tRNA from 1 species
UAUUAAAUAGCUUAUAAAGCUUAGGGCUUUUAAUCCUACGAUGGUCUUGAUGACCUUUAAUAA